UGUUGCGCAGACUCCUGGUCUCUGGACAGUAAGUCACCCCCUUCCAGUAUCCAGUAGUGGGUAUUCAGUUACUUACUAUUGUGUGUUGGUCCUUUACUGUGAGAAAAUUAGAGUGUUCAAAGCAGGCGUUUGCUUGAAUAGAUUAGCAUGGAAUAAUAAUUGAAGGCUUUCGUGUUCGAUUUGAUUGGUUUGUUCAUGGAAGCAAGGUUAAAAGGAACAGUUGGGGGUAUUCAUAUUCACUAGUUAGAGGUGAAAUUCUCGGAUUUAUGGAAGAUGAACAAGUGCGAAAGCAUUUACCAAGGAUGUUUUCAUUAAUCAAGAACGAAAGCUAGCGGAUCGAAGAGGAUUAGAUACCCUCGUAGUCUUAGCUAUAAACGAUACCGACUAGGGGUUAGUAGCAGGUCAAAGUGUCUUUAUUAGUACCUUAUGAG
rnacentral:rRNA from 1 species